UUAGUGUCAGAACCUGUCAACGUUCAUGUAUUUUUUAGCUCUGCUCAAAAUAAUCUGUAGAAUUUUGGAUGAAGCCUAAGGGACAAGACAUGGAGUUCCUCUAUUUAAGACAUACAAGGAUGAAGGAUGGUCUGAAGUGGAAGAUAUCAAAUGCCAUUUAUUUUACAGAGCUUAUUCCUGUUUCACGUCUUGCCAUCUGGUCUAUGACAGCCUUGAAGUCUGUUAAGUCUACAAGUCUAUGAAAUAGCCUACAGCCCAGAAGUCCAUGAAAAAUGAUCCGUAAAAAAAAUGUAUGGAACCUUGAGAUUACCAAAUCUUUACUUAAUCUCUAGUAAAUUCCUUGUGCUUUUACACAUUGGGAAAAUUAAUUUGAGUAAAUUGAAUAUUGCUCAUUUUUCAGGUAAA